rnacentral:misc_RNA from 1 species
UUCUGGUCGGAUGACAUCGGCAAAACCAGGCUUUAUCGCGCCCGCACCGAUAUCGGGACCACAACAGUAAUGGAAGAAACCUUUCCCAACCCGACCGCGCCGGAGAAGCUGCUUUAUUAUGGCGGUGCUGGGCAAUCGAAUAUGGUCAGUUCCGCACUGCCGGUCACGCUGACGCCGCCCUAUCCUUAUCUCGGCUUCACGUUCAAGAACCACAUCGGCGCUGGCGGAAAUACACCGCUUGAUCCCAAUCUGCUGACCGAGUUCGAAGGCAUCCACGCCAACCAAAAUCAGGAGAGCCCCCUGAUCGCGAUGGUGGCAGAAAUGCUUCACCUAAUGGACGUUG